rnacentral:lncRNA from 1 species
UGCAUGUCCUUGGAUUGGAUCCUUGGAUUCAAAGCGAUCUAAAGGUAAUUCACUAUUUUGGUGAACGAAACAUCUAACUCUUGCAUGGUAUAUCAUAAUAUGGAUCUGAUGUUAUGCUUUCCAAUCAUUCUUAAAAUAUAACUCAUUUGAUAGUUACACUUGGCCACAAUCUCAUUAUCUAGCGGACAAUUCUAAGAAAUCAUGUACGGC